UACGAAGGUCCCGAGCGUUGUUCGGAAUCACUGGGCGUAAAGGGAGCGUAGGCGGCGUGGUAAGUCAGAUGUGAAAUCCCGGGGCUCAACCCCGGAACUGCAUCCGAUACUGCCGUGCUUGAGGGUUGGAGAGGUAGCUGGAAUUAUCGGUGUAGCAGUGAAAUGCGUGGAUAUCGAUAGGAACACUCGUGGCGAAGGCGAGCUACUGGACAACAUCUGACGCUGAGGCUCGAAGGCCAGGGGGAGCAAAAAGGG
rnacentral:rRNA from 1 species